UACGUAGGGUGCAAGCGUUGUCCGGAAUUAUUGGGCGUAAAGAGCUCGUAGGCGGUUUGUCGCGUCUGCUGUGAAAACGCGAGGCUCAACCUCGCGCCUGCAGUGGGUACGGGCAGACUAGAGUGCGGUAGGGGAGAUUGGAAUUCCUGGUGUAGCGGUGGAAUGCGCAGAUAUCAGGAGGAACACCGAUGGCGAAGGCGGGUCUCGUGGGCAACAACUGACGC
rnacentral:rRNA from 1 species